GACAGAGGAUGCAAGCGUUAUCCGGAAUGAUUGGGCGUAAAGCGUCUGUAGGUGGCUUUUCAAGUCCGCCGUCAAAUCCCAGGGCUCAACCCUGGGCAGGCGGUGGAAACUACCAAGCUGGAGUACGGUAGGGGCAGAGGGAAUUUCCGGUGGAGCGGUGAAAUGCGCAGAUAUCAGGAGGAACACCGAUGGCGAAGGCAGCUCGCUGGGACGGUACUGACGCUGAGGCGCGAAAGCGUGGGGAGCAAACAGG
rnacentral:rRNA from 1 species